CCAUAUCAGAUUGAAACACCAUUUCUCAUCCGAUCAUCGAAGUUAAGCAACAUUGAACCUGGUCAGUAUCUAGAAAGGUGACCACUUGGGAAUACCAGGUUCUGUA